rnacentral:misc_RNA from 1 species
GAGUUCGCGGGAGAGUAAGUUAUUGCCCGGGUUUUUAUUUUGUACUUUAAACCCUAAAUUUAUUUUUUAUAUUUUUUUAAUGUUCAUGUUUUUGAAUGUUUUAUUCAAAUAAUGUAAAAAAUAAAAUAGAUAUUGACAUGGAUUGAACAAAAGAUAUAUAUUAUUUUAUGUUGCAUAAACAAAUUGGCAAAAUAGAGAUGGAAGAUAAAAAUAUGGUCAAAGUAAUAAGAGUCUAUGGGGAAUGCC